CGAGCAGGGAAGGAAAGGAAAAAAAAGUUCCCAUUUAAUCCAAUCACACAGUCAACCAAGCAGCGCUUAAUCGCUGCCCAUCGGACUUCUCGGCGCAGUCACAUGCCAGCCACGGCAUAAAAGCGCAGGACUCCCGGUGCUGGGUUCUGUGGAACUUUGGCUGCUGCGCGCUGCCAGUGAGUGCGGCUCCAGCUCGCAAGCAAACCGGCUCCGGUAUCCCCGCAAUUACAGGCAGCGACGCGCUCCCUACCUCCGUCCUGGUCAGCCUGCAGGCAGGCGGGAAUGUUCUUCUUCCAGCCCGGCAUUUCCUAUUCAGUGCGCGCAUUCAGGAUAUUUUCACGGCUUCAUCUCCGGCGCAUUGCAAUCUCGCCUCGUUAUGGGAGUGAGAGAGGGCGCCAUACAAGAAACGAGAAAAGCGAGGGGAGACCUCAGCGUGCUCCAACCCUCCCCAACUUAAGGCCAAGCGUAUCCUUCAGUUCAGUCAGCUGAAGAGCCACCAGACGGUCACGGUCCGGGACUUCUGCAGGACCGUGGACUUGCUGUACAGUGAUGUUGUCUGUGUGAUUACAAUGCUUGACAGUGUGCUUCACUUUAUUUUUACAACACCGUAAUUUUCAUCGUCAAUGGUUCGGUAACAGGAUACAAAGAGGAAUCCAAUCCGUGCGACUCACCGGCACCUUCGGCGAAAUCAGCCGUGGUGGCCGCUGGACCCUGCACUGAUAUAUAGUGCACUGACACUAGAUCGGGGGAUAUGCCUCGAACGGGAACUUUUCUUGGGGGAGCAGAGCUUGCAAAUUUAAGCACUCCACUGUGAUGGAACGAAAUGACAUUAAGAAGCAUGCAGUCUUUGGAGUAUGA